rnacentral:lncRNA from 1 species
UAAAUUGAAAAGGAGUACGACAUAUCACCCACAAACUAACAGCCAGCCGGAAGUUUUAAACAGGUGCUUGGAGACAGCCCAAAGCCACCCACCAAAUAUGACUACCCAAAGAGAACUCCAGACCCAGCUAAGUGCCAUUAUUGAUCGACGGAUCGUGACUCGACGACGACGACCCACUAAUGAAGUGCUAAUACAGUGGGCGAACCUACCAAUAGAAGAUGUCACUUGGGAGAACUAUGACGACUUGAAGAUCAAAUUCCCAGAAUUCACGAAUCAUCAGCCUCGAGGACAAGGCUGAUUUGAAGAGGGCGGGUCUGUUAGGACUCUAGCUUGGAGAGUCCUAAUUGAGAGGGACAUUCAUGUAAAAAUGUUAGGACUCUAGCUAGGAGAGUCCUAAUUGAG